AUGCAAGUCGAGCGGAAACGAUGGAAGCUUGCUUCCAGGCGUCGAGCGGCGGACGGGUGAGUAAUGCGCAGGAAUUUGCACAGCAGUGGGGGAUAGCCCGGAGAAAUCCGGAUUAAUACCGCAUAUACCCUACGGGGGAAAGAGGGCCUCUCAUUGGAAGCUCUUGCUGUUGGAUGAGCCUGCGUCGGAUUAGCUAGUUGGUAGGGUAAAGGCCUACCAAGGCGACGAUCCGUAGCUGGUAUGAGAGGAUGAUCAGCCACACUGGUACUGAGACACGGUCCAGACUCCUACGGGAGGCAGCAGUGGGGAAUAUUGGACAAUGGGCGCAAGCCUGAUCCAGCCAUGCCGCGUGUGUGAAGAAGGCUCUAGGGUUGUAAAGCACUUUAAGUUGGGAGGAAAGGUUAAAGUUUAAUACGCUUUAGCUGUGACGUUACCAACAGAAUAAGCACCGGCUAACUCCGUGCCAGCAGCCGCGGUAAUACGGAGGGUGCAAGCGUUAAUCGGAAUUACAUGGCGUAAAGCGCGCGUAGGUGGUUAGGUAAGUUGGAUGUGAAAGCCCCGGGCUUAACCUGGGAACUGCAUUCAAAACUGCCUAGCUAGAGUACGAUAGAGGUUAGCGGAAUUCCAGGUGUAGCAGUGAAAUGCGUAGAUAUCUGGAGGAACAUCAGUGGCGAAGGCGGCUCUCUGGACCAAUACUGACGCUGAGGUGCGAAAGCGUGGGUAGCAAACGGGAUUAGAUACCCCGGUAGUCCACGCCGUAAACGAUGUCAACUAACUGAUGUUGGGGGGUUGCCCCUCAGUGUCGCAGCUAACGCGUUAAGUUCUCCGCCUGGGGAGUACGCCGGCAACGGUAAAACUCAAAGGAAUUGACGGGGACCCGCACAAGCGGUGGAGCAUGUGGUUUAAUUCGAUGCAACGCGAAGAACCUUACCUGCCCUUGACAUACUCGGAACUUUCCAGAGAUGGAUUGGUGCCUUCGGGAACCGAGAUACAGGUGCUGCAUGGCUGUCGUCAGCUCGUGUCGUGAGAUGUUGGGUUAAGUCCCGCAACGAGCGCAACCCUUGUCCUUAGUUGCCAGCACGUAAUGGUGGGAACUCUAAGGAGACUGCCGGUGACAAACCGGAGGAAGGUGGGGAUGACGUCAAGUCAUCAUGGCCCUUAUGGGCUGGGCUACACACGUGCUACAAUGGCAGGUACAGAGGGUCGCGAACCCGCGAGGGGGAGCCAAUCCCACAAAGCAGCUCUUAGUCCGGAUUGCAGUCUGCAACUCGACUGCAUGAAGUUGGAAUCGCUAGUAAUCGUAGAUCAGCAUUGCUACGGUGAAUACGUUCCCGGGCCUUGUACACACCGCCCGUCACACCAUGGGAGUGGGUUGCACCAGAAGCAGGUAGCCUAACCUUCGGGGGGGC
rnacentral:rRNA from 1 species